ensembl:lncRNA
GUGAGGGCUCUCUUCCUGGUUUGCAGACAUCUGCCUUCUUGCUAAGUCCCCAUAUGAUGGAGGUUGGAUAUACUGGAGAGGGAGAGAGAGUGAGAGCAAGCACACAGGCACUCUGGUCUCUUUUUGUCUUCUUAGGAUACUAACCCCAUGAUGGGGCCCAGCCCUCAUGACUUCAUCUAAACCUAGUUAUCUCCCAAAGGCCCCAUAUCCAAAUACCAUCACAUUGGGGGUUAGGGCUCCAUCAUAUGAAUUUGGGGGGGACACAAACAUUCAGUCCACAACAAAGAGGGUGAUGCUGAACUUCCAUUGCAGCCUCUAGCCCUACUGCAGAGUCCAUGGCUGUGGAUCCUUUCUUUCAUGAAUUUCCAACAGAAAAAAACAAAAGCCAGAAAAGCACACAAGAAUCAUGGAGAAGUGCUGUUCCUGAUAUACGUGGAAGGGAUUGGAGGAGAAUGAAUUCUAAAAGUGAGUGUUCUAAAUUCUAAAGUGGGCAUUGUGGUUCACCACCCAUUUACUAAACUAAUUCUUGUUCUGUGAACCGUGGAGUACCGCCACCUGUAGGAUACCUCACACCAAGUCAUUCCUCUUCCCUGAAGCACACUGCCUCCCACAACUGUGAGCAGGCGUAUCUCUUGCUAGGGCUUCCUAUUAGCUGAAGCCAGAGAGAAGAGAGAAGGCAUGGAAGCCCACUGACUACACGAUACAAGUCAGCACAUCGGAGGAGAGAGCGGGAAAAGAAGGAGACUGCAGGCCCAGGAGAGCUGAUGGUGUAUUCCAGUCCAAACCCAAACCCGAAGGCCUGAGAACCAGGAGCACUCUAUGGCAGAGGGCAAAGAUGGACGUUCCGGCUCAAGCAGAGAGCACAGUCAGCCUUCCUCUGCCGUUGGUUCCGUUCCGGCGCUCAGUGGAUUGGAUGAAGCCCACCUGCAUUGGGGAGCGCCAUCUUCUUUACUCAGUCUACUGAUUCAAAUGCUAAUCUCUUCCAGAAACACCCUCACACACACCCCAGACAUAAUGUUUUACCAGCUAUCUGGUCAUUCCUUACCUCAGUCAAAUUCAUACAUAAAACUAAGCAUCACACCUCCCCAAAAUCAAGACAAUGGAUGAUGUUUAUAACUGGGUAAAAUGGGAUUUGUAAUUCAGGUUAUUUCAUGUUCUUUGCUUUCCACAAAUCUGAAGCAUAACCUAAUCAACUUGCCAACGGAUUUAUAAUUAAUAAUUUUUGAUCAUAGACUAUUAUGUUACUUCAGCAUGUAAUUCUGAAGGAGUUCAAAGAAUUGUGUGACAUUGUUCAAGUAAAAUCCCUUUCAUUCCUAUGAAUUUAAUCAUAUAAACACAUUUCCAUUCUACUUCAAGUAAUAAAAUGAAAAAUAUCAGUAGGAUGGAUUGGAAACUGUCAUAGUCUAGCAAUAAUUCAUAUUUAUCCAUGGAUAAGUUCAGUAAUCAAAAAAUAGCUUUAUUAAUUUCAUUAAGAUAUGCAUUCUAGAAAGUGAAUUUUGUGUUAAAAUUACUUAUUAAAUUUGUAAUAUGUUUAUGCUGAGACAAAUUGUGUACUAAUAACAAUUAUAAUGCGACUCAAUCCAGAAGAAAAACAAUUUAAUAAAGUCCUAUACAACAAAAUAUAAAAUUGUAGUGUCUAUACAUAUUCAGUGACAGAAUUAAGAUGGGGUGUUCAAUAUAAGAGCUUUAAGCAUAGAACAAUAUUGUAUCAGCAUGUAAUUUAGGUGUGAAAGUGAAAUGGAAAUGUGAGUUCAAGAUGAAAAAAUAAAAAUAAAUGAUUUCUGAAUUUUAAAGAAGAACUUAUUCAUAUGUAUUUUAAAUGGUUUUGAUGAGGAUUUCAAAUUAUUAUGCUCAGGAAAAACAAAAAAAGGAAUGAUAACUCUCUCCUGCCAGGAUUGAUCCUGAGCUUUCCGACAGAGCACUGAAGUCUGGUAACGUCCAUCCGUUAACUGCAUUCCCUCUGUUGUCUCUGAUCAUCUAUGCCUGGAAAAGCUUCCACAGGAAGUUUGUCAAACCUUCUAAAAAUUUACCUGUUUUGUUUGUGUUUCUGAAAAGUUUUUAAGUUUUUUAAGUAAAGAUUAUUUCUUCACAAAAGUCUUAUUGAUUACUGUUGAGUUUGUUUUAUUUUCUUUUUAUUUUAUUUGUAUUGUGAGCAAAAUACUUUUACAUUACCGUUUUAAAAAGCCAGUUAUUUCUGAUAAUAUUAUAACCCUGUGGGAUAGAGCAAGCACAUGGUAUAAUCUGUCUUGCGUCUUGCUGAGUUCUCUCUGAAGUUUGGCUACUAU